rnacentral:tRNA from 1 species
AAGAAAGUGACAGAGAGGCUAUGUUUCUGGCUUGAAACCAGGUUACGGGGGUUCAAUUCCCUCCUUUCUUG